UUUAGUAGGAUUAGGAUUUGGUUUAGGGUUUGAUUUAGGAUUUCGAAUUUGUCUAAAAUUUGGUUUAGGAUUUAAGAUUUGAUUUAAAAUUCACUUAAGGAUCUAGGAUUUGAUCUAAGAUUUGGUUUAAGAUUUAGGAUUUGUAUAAGAUUUGAUUGAAAAUUUAUCUAAGGUUUAAUUUAGGAUUUGAUUUAGAGUUUAGAAUUUGAUCUAGGAUUUGAUUUAGAGUUUAAAGUUUAAUGUAGGAUUUGAUUUAGGAUUUAGAUUUUGUCUAAGAUUUGAUUUAUUAUUUGGUUUAGGAUUUAGAAUUUGUCUAGAAUUAGAUUGAAAUCUAUUGGGGUUUCAAUCAAGAUUAAAUUAUAACUUGAUUGAGAUUUAUUUAAGAUAUAUUUGUGAUUAUU
rnacentral:lncRNA from 1 species